rnacentral:rRNA from 1 species
UAACGCGUGAGUAACCUGCCUUGCACAAGGGGAUAGCCGUUGGAAACGACGAAUAAUACCCUAUGAUAUGAUAGCCUCGCAUGAAGCUAUCAUCAAAGAUUUAUCGGUGUAAGAUGGACUCGCGUCUGAUUAGCUAGUUGGUGGGGUAACAGCUCACCAAGGCAACGAUCAGUAGCCGGCUUGAGAGAGUGUACGGCCACAUUGGGACUGAGACACGGCCCAG